rnacentral:lncRNA from 1 species
CAACAUGGCUGCACUGAAGCGUGAGCCUCAGCCUCAGUGUUUGUAGGGAACGAUCAUAUUUUAACCCUAGCAGGGUGCCACUGCACCUUGACUCCAGACUUGAGGUGUUCCAGAGGGUCCUUGAGCGCUGCCAUUCGAGAGGCUACCAUUUAGGUCCAUGGCUUUCUCCGUGCACAGGAAAGGGCACUCUGUGAGGUUCUACAAGGUGACUCUCUGCCUAGCUUUACCGGCACCAGGCAAUGGUUCUGACCUCACUCUCGGGCCUUUGGUGUGGGGAAAGAACCUGCAGCCAGGACAGCCACUGCUUGUGGUCACUAAGAUGAGAAAAUUGAGGCCUGGAGAACUGAAGAGCCUGUCCAAGACCAGCUAAUGAUCAAGGCACAGAGAAUGCUCACAGCCACCGAGAUCUGCUUCCCACCAUACAGGAGGCUCUCCUCUUCCUGGCCACCCUGAAGGUCCAACUCCCUUCAGAAUGCUCUGGUGACAUUAAAACUCAGAUGUCCUUCG